UGCAAGUCUGAGUUGAGCACCAUUUGAAUUGCUAACUGGAGAAGGGUCCCGUGAGGGAGGAGUUUUGUGACCUCUGCUGCUCGAAGUACCUAACCUGGAAAUGCAAAAUCUGAGCAGCUUGCUGUCUAUCUGCUGAAGCUUCUUCAGUAAGCAUCAGUGGCAUACUUAUCUGAUCAUGAAUUGAAGAGAGGUUGUUAGAAUACUAUUUCAUCUGCAAUCUAACAGGAAGCAACAGAUAUAGGCUGAUGCAAAAUGAAAGAAGAUGAAAGCUAUGAACAGUCUGGGGUUUAUAAUCAUCUUGGCUGAUGAACAGCAAGCUGCUGCCUUGGGGAAGUAGGGUGGGGGACAAAUCAAAUGUUUUUAUUUGAAGUUCUAAAGUCAUCUCCUGAGUGAGGCAGUUCCCGAGUUUCGCUUGGAGCUCCACAUAGUCAUCUCGCUGACACCUGACUGCCUUUCAGCCAACCAUAGCAGACGGCUUGUACAAUGAACAACCCUGAGACUUCAGCUUACAACUGCCUGGUUGGGAGUCAGUGCUCGAUAUUCGACAGCCUAGAUCUACUGGAUGUUACUGUCUGACAAUUGUUAACUUCGCCAUAGUCAGAACUAGGUUAGAAUCAAAAAAACUGUGCAGAGCUGGAGGACACUGAAAGAAAGGAACUGUGCAGUACGCUUUUCCUGCAAAACGAAAACCUCAAAGGGUUGUACGCAUUAACUGUUUAGGUUAAGCAAAAAUUGCCACCCUGGGAAGGAAAAAUAGCUGCAUUACUGAGUGAAAGCAAAGGACUUCCUAUGUGACAACAGUGACUUUACUUCAGAAAGUUAGCUUGGGACAUGCUGAGGUUGUGAAAAGGCACUAUAUAAAUGCAAGUACUCUCAUUCAGAACACAGAAGGAAAUUCGAGGAUUAAUCAGCCUGGGUAUAUGGCCUUGACAAUUGUUUAUUCAGCGGGGAUGACAUCAGAUUCUUUGCAGUCCUAUUGAAAUGGAGAACGUCAUUUGCUCUUGAUAUAACCUGAUGAAUUUAAAAAACAACAGGAAAUUCAUUUAAGAAUGAAAUAUCCAAGAUAAUAUAACAAGAAUGUUGAAGCAUUGUAUCAUUAUGAUGUAACUUCAAGCAAAAUGUGUUGUUAGUACAUGAAAGACACGUUUAAGUAAAAUUUGAUACAUUUGAUAAUUCAAAACCAACUGUCUCCCAGGAUUUAAUUCUUUAAUCUCUGAGAUUGUGCAAUUUCACAAGCAAUAUCGAGUCAAAUAGAAAACCAUACCCUACCAGAUGUGUUUUUAAUUUUUGACAGAUUGAGUUGUAUUUACUAAGAUCGUAAAGGUGAGCUUACAACAAUGUAUCCUUUAUUUAUUGUUUGUAUUCACUUUGUAAGAUAAGUUUUUACCAUCUUGUAAUCUCUAUUUACAUUGACACAGUGAUAUUAAUAAGGUAAAAUCAUAGAAAGAUUGUAUCUUCUGUGAGAACCAUCCAGCUCAAAACAUCAUUAAAUCUGCCAUUUUUAUUUUGAAGGACGCAUUGACAUUUAGAAUUGCAUUAGAUGUUUGCUAUCUUAACGAAUGUGUUGGGGGUGAAAUUGGUUCUCAAUAGCAACAUUAAAUGAUGUUGAAUUGUCAGCUUGUUUUUUUUUGCUCAAAAACUGCAUGAAUCCAUGUUAUAUUCUGUAAAUCCCUUUUUAGAAAUAGAAU